rnacentral:misc_RNA from 1 species
CACACGCAAUACGAAGUCACCAACGGCAAGGCAACGCCGCAGAGCGCGAGAGCGAGUGCUUGCUGUCCAUUGCUGCCGCCAUCACUGCUGUGGUCUAUCAUCACAAGAGGAGAGAGUGUGUCUGGGUGUAUAUUGGUGGCAACACUGACAGUGCGCCACAGACCCUCCCAGAGCCCACCCUCUCCCUUCCCACUCCCUGGUCUGCUGCUGGCCUACCUACCCACCCACUUUCUUCUGUUCUGUUUUUCUUUUUUCAGCUGCUGCGACCCUCUCUUCUCCUUUGUUGUUGAGCUUGUGUAAGCGUCAGAGCUGGCGUGUCUCUGUGCCCUUUCCGCUCCGUCCUCACUUGUCUGCUUUGCCCGACACGCAUACAUGUGCACAUGUAUGCGUGUAUGUGCGUGUGUCUCUCUCUCUGCACUCCCCUGCAGCUCUUCCUCCUUGAACCGCGCACACACCGACGCCCCGUCCUCCUUUGUGCAUCCCUUUCAAGCGCUCUUUAGUGCUGCGUGCCCUCGUCGGAACUACUGCCGCUUCGUGCUGCUGUUCUGAGUACCACCGGAGGUACACUGUAUUGCGCAUCACCGCUCCUCGCUCCCUGCCUUGGCCGCGCUCUCCUCGGUUCUUUGCCACACUCGACUUGAAAAACGAGUGUCAUCUCGGUUGCAGUCAUCCCCACCUCCACCAUAGUUAUUCAGCUAGGCGCAACAGCGUAGAAACGGACGAGGCCGAACGCCGACGAGCAAAAUACGAUGGAGGAAGAUUUGGCAUACAAGAUCAUCGUGAUUGGGAGCGUUAGUGUAGGGAAGAGCAACAUCACGUCCCGAUUCUGCGAUGGUGCGUUCUACCCCGACCUCGUCCCCACCUUAGGGAUGGACUUCAAGUACAGUAGCUGCAACACCCUCGAAAAGAGGCCGCGCUGCGUGCGGCUGCAGGUCUGGGACACGAGCGGGCAGGACGAUUUCGUCACGCUCACGACCGCCUUCUACCGCAACUGCCAGGGCGCGCUACUGUGCUUCGACCUUACGAAUCGGCAGUCCUUCGAGGAUCUCGAUCAGUGGUAUGAGCGGCUAGAGCGGUACUCGCCGGUGGUGCCGCCUCUCAUCCUGGUUGGGUGCAAGCUGGACCUCGUAGAGAGCCACCUCGACGAGCAGGGUGAGGGAAUCGUCCUGGGGAGUCAUCGCCAAAUAGCCAAGAGCGAGGCGGACGCGUGGGCGCGGUACCACAGCUGCCUCUGCUACCUCGAGACGAGCGCGAAGGAGAACACAAACGUAUCGCAGGCGUUUCAGCAGCUCGCCACGUACAUCGCCUCCGUAGCGAAUCCAGGCGCCAAGCACGCGGGCCGCAUCCUCGGCCCCGGUGGCCGCCUGCUUGUGGAGGAGGAGGAGAAGCAGAAGAAGCGCCAGUGCUGCGCCAACUGAGCAGAUACAGAGCGGAGGGUGUGUAGUAUGCUCGUGAAGAACGUACGGCAGAACAAAGAAAGUGGACGCUAAAGGGAUCCGGCGAGGUGUUUGGCGUAUGGCGGAGACGAAGAGAGGACACAACGGAGAAGUGAAUGGGACUUGGCCGACAAAAGGGCAAAACACGUCGCGACAGCCGACCAGACUGGUCGUACGAGGACUACAUGGCGCUUCUGCGGUCGCUGCUGCUGAUGUUGUCUCCUCCAUCGGCAAGGGCUCUGGCUGCAGCGGCUCGAUGUUUCCAUCACUGCACUGCUGCUUCAUACACGGGUGCGAGAGUAAUCGAACGCACCUCUUCUUUUUUUCGUUUUGUCGCCGCUGCUUCAGUUGUGCGUGGUGGCUGACGUGACUGAACGGCCCGUACAACCGCCGACAGCAGUUGCUGGCCCUCCCCUUCCCACCAACUCUCUUUACGACACGACCUUUCGCCGGCGCGAUGGUGAGUUUCACAUAAGUACCUGCCGUCAUAAUUUCCAGCUGUGUGCCCGUGAUGCCUUCUUUCGCUUCAACCCUGUAUUUUCCUCUCCCCCUCGCCUUCCCUCCCCCGCCGUUGAUAAUGCGUGCUUGCUUGGCGUUGCCCCGCUCUGGCACACUCUCUCUUGUUUGGACCCUUGCCUAUUCUCCGCUGAGAUUAGGAGGAGGCGGCUGCUGCUCUCUCUUCACCCCUAACCUCCCUCUCCUGCCGUCCGUGUCCGUGUGUGGUGCCGUCUCGCCGUUCUUCGUCGUUUUUCUUUUUUUUUCUUGCCCUCCCCCUCCUCUCGACGUAAUGCUGUUGUCAUCGUCCUCCCACUCCCGGUAUUAU